rnacentral:piRNA from 1 species
UCUCAAUGCCGUUGGAACAGUCCCUCUUAGU